rnacentral:rRNA from 1 species
UACGAAGGGGCUAGCGUUGCUCGGAAUCACUGGGCGUAAAGCGCACGUAGGCGGACUCUUAAGUCGGUGGUGAAAUCCUGGAGCUCAACUCCAGAACUGCCUUCGAUACUGAGAGUCUCGAGUCCGGGAGAGGUGAGUGGAACUGCGAGUGUAGAGGUGAAAUUCGUAGAUAUUCGCAAGAACACCAGUGGCGAAGGCGGCUCACUGGCCCGGUACUGACGCUGAGGUGCGAAAGCGUGGGGAGCAAACA